GGGCUGUAGCUCAGGGGUAAAAGCACCAGCUUUUAAUGCAGAAGGUCCCAGGUUCAAUCCCCAGCAUGUCCA